AUGAUUACCUGGUUGGGGCUCCUACAUCAUCACAUGAACACCAUGGAGGAAUGAUCAGCUGGGUUGUCCAUUAACAGCCCUACGUCUUCACAUGAACCCCAAUAUUCACCUUCUUGACACAGGUUAAUGAGGUCAUGGUUAGAGCAGCUCGCGCUGGUCUUAACUCGUUGGUCUAAAGUUUAACCCUCCGCGUUACCGUCUGGUUCACUGCGACGUGAGUCAGCAGGUUCACUGAGGAACAUCACUGGGCCGGAUCAAUGAGGAGCGUUAUCAGGCCGCUUCACCGCAACAAGGGUUCACUGAAGAGCAUUAACGGGCGGUUCACUGAAUAGCGGUUAACCGCGACAUGGAGCACAUGGCUGCAUAUCAGGACCGAUCAACGGCAGAGAAGAAAGCCACUUGGAGUAAAACACAGAUGCUGGGUCUGGCUGGUGUGUUUGAAGCUUCAGUUGCAGGUGCAAAUAGAGAGGUCAACAUGCUGUUUUCGCAAUAUGCUGCUGUUUUAAGUGAGAGAGCAGCACUAGACGCCUCUCAGGUCAGGGACCUGGAGGGCAUUCUGAAUGAGGCCAGGCAGCUUGAGGCUCAGCUACAGGAGAAGAAGGACAACCUGAAGCAUACUCUAGUCCUUAUUGCUGAUAAACUCAAGGGGUGAUGAUCUUCCACCCAGGCCCAAAAGAACACAUCUCAUCAAAUCAGUUUUUUGUUUUUAAACAUAUUUAUUUUUGUUGUCAGUGUUUAUACAUUUUAUUUUUACAGUUGUGUCUUCAUAUUUAGUUUUGAUUCAGUAUUGCACCAGUUACAAUAUGGAAUAAAUGAAUAGCCAUUAA